AUACAUAGGGGGCAAGCGUUAUCCGGAAUUACUGGGUGUAAAGGGUGCGUAGGCGGUUAGGAAAGUCAGAUGUGAAAACCCAAGGCUCAACUUUGGGAAUGCAUUUGAAACUUCUUGACUAGAGUACAGGGGAGGUAAGUGGAAUUUCUAGUGUAGCGGUAAAAUGCGUAGGUAUUAGGAGGAACACCAGUGGCGAAGGCGACUUACUGGACUGAAACUGACGCUGAGGCACGAAAGCAUGGGGAGCGAACAGGAUUAGAUACCCUGGUAGUCCAUGCCGUAAACGAUGAAUGCUAGGUGUUGGAGUCUUAAGACUUCAGUGCCGCAGCUAACGCAAUAAGCAUUCCACCUGGGAAGUACGAUCGCAAGAUUGA
rnacentral:rRNA from 1 species